AUACUUACCUGGAUAAGUUAGAACAUUGUAGAGUAUUAGUGGAGUAGUGCAAGAAUGAGUGAUCAAGAAGGCCCAUGGCCUGGGAAGUGACCUCUAUUGCACUUUGGAGGGGUGCUCUCCUAAGGUCUACCCAAGUGGUGGAGCCUAUGUCAUAAUUUGUGGCAGUGGGGGUUUGUGUUCGCGCAACCCCUCG